rnacentral:rRNA from 1 species
UCGAGAAUCUUCGGCAAUGGGCGCAAGCCUGACCGAGCGACGCCGCGUGCGGGAUGAAGGCCUUCGGGUUGUAAACCGCUGUCAGUUGGGAGGAAAUCUCAUGGGGUUCUCUCCAUGAGUUGACCGAUCUUCAGAGGAAGGACGGGCUAAGUUCGUGCCAGCAGCCGCGGUAAGACGAACCGUCCAAACGUUAUUCGGUAUCACUGGGCUUAAAGCGUACGUAGGCGGCCUGGUAGGUGAGAUGUGAAAUCCCACGGCUCAACCGUGGAACUGCGUUUCAAACCACCAGGCUCGAGGAAGACAGGGGUGAUGGGAACUGAUGGUGGAGCGGUGAAAUGCGUUGAUAUCAUCAGGAACACCGGUGGCGAAAGCGCAUCACUGGGUCUUUUCUGACGCUGAGGUACGAAAGCUAGGGGAGCGAACGGGAUUAGAUACCCCCGUAGUCC